rnacentral:rRNA from 1 species
ACACAUGCAAGUCGAACGAUGGAACCACUUCGGUGGGGAUUAGUGGCGAACGGGUGAGUAACACGUGGGCAAUCUGCCCUUCACUCUGGGACAAGCCCUGGAAACGGGGUCUAAUACCGGAUACCACUUCCACUCGCAUGGGUGGGGGUUGAAAGCUCCGGCGGUGAAGGAUGAGCCCGCGGCCUAUCAGCUUGUUGGUGAGGUAAUGGCUCACCAAGGCGACGACGGGUAGCCGGCCUGAGAGGGCGACCGGCCACACUGGGACUGAGACACGGCCCAGACUCCUACGGGAGGCAGCAGUGGGGAAUAUUGCACAAUGGGCGAAAGCCUGAUGCAGCGACGCCGCGUGAGGGAUGACGGCCUUCGGGUUGUAAACCUCUUUCAGCAGGGAAGAAGCGAAAGUGACGGUACCUGCAGAAGAAGCGCCGGCUAACUACGUGCCAGCAGCCGCGGUAAUACGUAGGGCGCAAGCGUUGUCCGGAAUUAUUGGGCGUAAAGAGCUCGUAGGCGGUCUGUCGCGUCGGAUGUGAAAGCCCGGGGCUUAACCCCGGGUCUGCAUUCGAUACGGGCAGACUAGAGUGUGGUAGGGGAGAUCGGAAUUCCUGGUGUAGCGGUGAAAUGCGCAGAUAUCAGGAGGAACACCGGUGGCGAAGGCGGAUCUCUGGGCCAUUACUGACGCUGAGNANCAAAGCGUGGGGAGCGAACAGGAUNGAUACCCUGGUAGUCCCGCCGUAACGGUGGGAACUAGGUGUUGGCGAAUUNCCCGUCGUCGGUGCC